rnacentral:rRNA from 1 species
CAGCAGUGAGGAAGGUGGGGUAUGUUAAUAGCAUAUUCAUUUGACGUUAGCUGUAGAAGAAAGCACCGGCUAACUCCGUGCCAGCAGCCGCGGUAAUACGGAGGGUGCGAGCGUUAAUCGGAAUUACUGGGCGUAAAGCGCAUGCAGGUGGUUUGUUAAGUCAGAUGUGAAAGCCCGGGGCGUCAACCUCGGAAUUGCAUUUGAAACUGGCAAACUAGAGUACUGUAGAGGGGGGUAGGAAUUUCAGGUGUAGCGGUGAAAUGCGUAGAGAUCUGAAGGAAUACCGGUGGCGAAGGCGGCCCCCUCGGACAGAUACUGACACUCAGAUGCGAAAGCGUGGGGAGCAAACAGGAUUAGAUACCCCUGGUAG